rnacentral:lncRNA from 1 species
GCCGGGGCGUCCCCCGCGGGAGCCCGCAGCCACCCGGGACGCGCAUCCAGACGUGGCGCUUCGGACCGGGCACGCUGCGCCCGGGGGCUCGGCGGACCCCGCGUAGCCGCCGCUUCGGAGCUUGUGCGGCGCGGGCUGGCCAGCGGGGCGGCCAGGGCCCGGCCCGCCUCCCCAGCGCCCGCCCGGCUUCUCCCCCUGGCGGUGGGAGCCUCGGCGGCCGCUGGCGACACUAGGCGCACUGAAGCCCGAGCCGAGCCGAGCCCGAGCCGCCGCCGCCGCCGCCGCUGCUGCGCACCGCUCCCGGGCUCCCUCCCAGCGCGCCGGCCGGGGUGUGGGGGGCGGCGGGCCGGAGGGGCGAGGGCGGGCCAGGGGGCGCACACGGGGGUUGGCGCGGAAGACAGGACCCUCAGCCUCGAGGGAGCCCCUAGGUGACCAGGCAAAAUGGCAGUUCCUUCCAGCUGGUCCUCAGAUGGGCACAUCUAUUAGCCUCUGCUCUUGUAAGAAGUUAGCUGCAGAACCCACAUGUGAAUCCUUGUAGGACUCUGGAGAAGAUCAAAUGGGAGCUUAGAUGUGGAAGCUCUUUGGAAACCAAGAAACACUCUGAAAAUGAAAAGGGUGGAAGAGUAAACUGUUCCUGUUUCUCCAUCUUGACAGGAAGCAGAAGUUCUCCUUAGCUGAUUUUUCUUCUUGCCUUAUACUGGGUUCUUUAACACCAGAACAAAAAUAAAUAAAUAAAAGAAUCUUCCAGAAAUUCAUGAAGAGACUUCAGGUCAGGAAAGCCUGAACUUUCUCAUCCAACACCCGUUCAAGUCGGAGGAUGCUGAUUAAUUCAUGAUGGAAAGGUAUCAAUUUCACAGCCCAGACCUCUACAUUCUUGAAAUGCUCUUCUCAUGGGAGACAUUAAAUAAGCUUUGAAUUAACUGAGACCUCUGUGGAUUCUAUAACUCAAAGACCCAGGCUGACGGCUGGUGGAAUAGCUACCAUCUCAAACAUGGCGUGAUGCUGCAUCAGAGAGAAAAAUAAGCUCUUGCAUUGACAAUGAAAUGUCUACCCUGUAGUGACUUGUGCUUACUUCCACUCACAAGUGAUUGCCCAGAGCUACUUACCUGGCUCCAAUCUACCACUGGUGUUGGAGGUGGGUCCUGGUGUGAGGUGAUUGGAUUAUGGGGGUGAAUUUCUCAGGAAUGGUUUAACAUCAUCCCCUACGGCCCUGUCCUUGCAUAGUGAGUGCCAUGACACCCAGGAUGCAGCUGUAGGAACACCACUGGGUCCCUGGAUGUCAUGUAAGCCCUUAAGUAAAAGUGCCAUCAAAUGAUUUCUCAGAAAUUAUAAAGAAACAAAAGGACCAUAAACAAGAUAAGGUGGCAUGAGGAAACAUUACAAGUACCUUUCAGAGCUGACUGGCAAAGAAACUCCUGAGGUGACGGUUCUACCCCAAUAUUACUUCUUCGAAGAGCAACCUAACUCUUAGGUGGCCUAGAGGGGCAAGACUGGUGUGGCAAAUUGGGAUCAGCAGUGU